rnacentral:misc_RNA from 1 species
AUUUAAGCCUAACCCUACCGUCAUCGUGCUCAUCUCCUCCUCCUCCUUUCUGCCGAUUGUGGAGGUCUUCUCUGCUUCCUCCUUUCCAUUUUUUUUUGUCUCCAGCAAGCCCUUGUAGACCCUUUCGAUUUCUUCCCCAUCUCUAGAUUUCUUUGAUUUAAAGCCUCUUUAAUUUUUUUUUUUUUUUUUGGAAGUUCUACUAGUAUUUUAGGCAUAUUGUGUCUUAUUAAUUUGGUCAAACAUCUGAAUUUGUGAAAUAUAGGUGUCUAAUGUUAGUCUCAUUUUUUUUUUUUUUGGUUGCAAAUACACAUAUACAUAAUGCCAUCUGUUGUCUUGCAGGUUUUGUUAUUUAUGAGAAACCUCACAAUUAACUU